rnacentral:rRNA from 1 species
CAAGUAGUCAGAGCCCGUUAAUGGGUGAUGGCGUGCCUUUUGUAGAAUGAACCGGCGAGUUACGAUCUGAUGCAAGGUUAAGCAGGAAAUGUGGAGCCGUAGCGAAAGCGAGUCUGAAUAGGGCGUUGAGUAUUUGGUCGUAGACCCGAAACCAGGUGAUCUACCCAUGGUCAGGUUGAAGUUCAGGUAACACUGAAUGGAGGACCGAACCGACUUACGUUGAAAAGUGAGCGGAUGAACUGAGGGUAGCGGAGAAAUUCCAAUCGAACUUGGAGAUAGCUGGUUCUCUCCGAAAUAGCUUUAGGGCUAGCCUCAAGUGAUGAUUAUUGGAGGUAGAGCACUGUUUGGACGAGGGGCCCUUCUCGGGUUACCGAAUUCAGACAAACUCCGAAUGCCAAUCAAUUUAACUUGGGAGUCAGAACAUGGGUGAUAAGGUCCGUGUUCGAAAGGGAAACAGCCCAGACCACCAGCUAAGGUCCCAAAAUAUAUGUUAAGUGGAAAAGGAUGUGGCGUUGCCCAGACAACUAGGAUGUUGGCUUAGAAGCAGCCAUCAUUUAAAGAGUGCGUAAUAGCUCACUAGUCGAGUGACACUGCGCCGAAAAUGUACCGGGGCUAAACAUAUUACCGAAGCUGUGGAUUGUCCGUAGGACAAUGGUAGGAGAGCGUUCUAAGGGCGUCGAAGCAUGAUCGCAAGGACAUGUGGAGCGCUUAGAAGUGAGAAUGCCGGUGUGAGUAGCGAAAGACGGGUGAGAAUCCCGUCCACCGAUUGACUAAGGUUUCCAGAGGAAGGCUCGUCCGCUCUGGGUUAGUCGGGUCCUAAGCUGAGGCCGACAGGCGUAGGCGAUGGAUAACAGGUUGAUAUUCCUGUACCACCUAGUAUCGUUUUAAUCGAUGGGGGGACGCAGUAGGAUAGGCGAAGCGUGCUAUUGGAUUGCACGUCCAAGCAGUAAGACUGAGUGUUAGGCAAAUCCGGCACUCAUAAGGUCAAGCUGUGAUGGGGAGAGGAAAUUGUUUCCUCGAGUCGUUGAUUUCACACUGCCAAGAAAAGCCUCUAGAUAGAUAACAGGUGCCCGUACCGCAAACCGACACAGGUAGUCAAGAUGAGAAUUCUAAGGUGAGCGAGCGAACUCUCGUUAAGGAACUCGGCAAAAUGACCCCGUAACUUCGGGAGAAGGGGUGCUCUUUAGGGUUAACGCCCAGAAGAGCCGCAGUGAAUAGGCCCAAGCGACUGUUUAUCAAAAACACAGGUCUCUGCUAAACCGUAAGGUGAUGUAUAGGGGCUGACGCCUGCCCGGUGCUGGAAGGUUAAGAGGAGUAGUUAGCUUCUGCGAAGCUACGAAUCGAAGCCCCAGUAAACGGCGGCCGUAACUAUAACGGUCCUAAGGUAGCGAAAUUCCUUGUCGGGUAAGUUCCGACCCGCACGAAAGGCGUAACGAUUUGGGCACUGUCUCAACGAGAGACUCGGUGAAAUCAUAGUACCUGUGAAGAUGCAGGUUACCCGCGACAGGACGGAAAGACCCCGUGGAGCUUUACUGUAGCCUGAUAUUGAAAUUCGGCACAGCUUGUACAGGAUAGGUAGGAGCCUUUGAAACGUGAGCGCUAGCUUACGUGGAGGCAUUGGUGGGAUACUACCCUAGCUGUGUUGGCUUUCUAACCCGCACCACUUAUCGUGGUGGGAGACAGUGUCAGGUGGGCAGUUUGACUGGGGCGGUCGCCUCCUAAAAGGUAACGGAGGCGCUCAAAGGUUCCCUCAGAAUGGUUGGAAAUCAUUCAUAGAGUGUAAAGGCAUAAGGGAGCUUGACUGCGAGACUUACAAGUCGAGCAGGGUCGAAAGACGGACUUAGUGAUCCGGUGGUUCCGCAUGGAAGGGCCAUCGCUCAACGGAUAAAAGCUACCCCGGGGAUAACAGGCUUAUCUCCCCCAAGAGUCCACAUCGACGGGGAGGUUUGGCACCUCGAUGUCGGCUCAUCGCAUCCUGGGGCUGUAGUCGGUCCCAAGGGUUGGGCUGUUCGCCCAUUAAAGCGGUACGCGAGCUGGGUUCAGAACGUCGUGAGACAGUUCGGUCCCUAUCCGUCGUGGGCGUAGGAAAUUUGAGAGGAGCUGUCCUUAGUACGAGAGGACCGGGAUGGACAUACCUCUGGUGUACCAGUUGUCGUGCCAACGGCAUAGCUGGGUAGCUAUGUAUGGACGGGAUAAGUGCUGAAAGCAUCUAAGCAUGAAGCCCCCCUCAAGAUGAGAUUUCCCAACUUCGGUUAUAAGAUCCCUCAAAGAUGAUGAGGUUAAUAGGUUCGAGGUGGAAGCGUGGUGACACGUGGAGCUGACGAAUACUAAUCGAUCGAAGACUUAAUCAA